GACGGCGGGUGCUAGCGUUGUUCGGAAUUACUGGGCGUAAAGAGCGCGCAGGCGGUCAGAUAAGUCGAAUGUGAAAGCCCCCGGCUCAACUGGGGAGGGUCAUUCGAUACUGUUCGACUCGAAGGCAGGAGAGGGAAGCGGAAUUCCCGGUGUAGUGGUGAAAUGCGUAGAUAUCUGGAGGAACACCGGUGGCGAAGGCGGCAUCCUGGACCGACACUGACGCUGAGGAGCGAAAGCCAGGGGAGCAAACGGG
rnacentral:rRNA from 1 species